rnacentral:lncRNA from 1 species
AUUUCAGCCUGUAUGAAUCACUUUUCCUUAUUUCCCCGCCAACUCUGCUUUUUCGGAGGAGGAUUGUACAGUUUGCAGAAGAACCAUCUGUGAUACAGCGGAAAAAAGCACUUAGACUGGAAGUCAGGAAGUCUCAGUUCUGGUCCCAGCUGUGCCACUGUUGUUUGACUUUGGGGUCUCUCAAAAGUCUUCUCCAGGACUACAAUUGGAAAGCAUCACUUCUGCAGCACUCAGCUUUACCAGAGACACUGUGGACUUGGCUU